CUGGGGAAUAGCUCCCUGAAAGGGGGAAUUAACACCGCAUAACACUAUUGAUUCGCAUGGAUUGGAGUUAAAUGUAGCGAUACAGGUUAUAGAUGGGCAUGCGUGACAUUAGCUAGUUGGUGAGGUAACGGCUCACCAAGGCUACGAUGUCUAGGGGUUCUGAGAGGAAGGUCCCCCCACACUGGUACUGAGACACGGACCAGACUCCUACGGGAGGCAGCAGUGAGGAAUAUUGGUCAAUGGGCGCAAGCCUGAACCAGCCAUGCCGCGUGCAGGAAGAACCUGCCCUAUGGGUUGUAAACUGCUUUUAUAGUAGAAGAAACACAUCUACGUGUAGAUGUCUGCCAGUAUACUAUGAAUAAGCAUCGGCUAACUCCGUGCCAGCCGCCGC
rnacentral:rRNA from 1 species